rnacentral:rRNA from 1 species
UACGUAGGGACCGAGCGUUGUCCGGAUUCAUUGGGCGUAAAGAGCUCGUAGGCGGCCACUCAAGUCGAAAUGUGAAACCUCGAGGCUUAACCUCGAGCCUGCAUUCGAUACUGGGCGGCUAGAGUCUGGUAGGGGGAUCUGGAAUUCCUGGUGUAGCGGUGGAAUGCGCAGAUAUCAGGAGGAACACCGGUGGCGAAGGCGGGAUCCUGGGCCAGUACUGACGCUGAGACGCGAAAGCGUGGGGAGCGAACAGG